GGGCGCGUAGCUCAGGGGUAGAGCGCUUGCUCGACACGCAAGAAGUCAGUGGUUCGAAACCACUCGUGCCCACCA
rnacentral:tRNA from 1 species